GGGUUGUGAGGUUAAGCGACUAAGCGUACACGGUGGAUGCCCUGGCAGUCAGAGGCGAUGAAGGACGUGCUAAUCUGCGAAAAGCGUCGGUAAGGUGAUAUGAACCGUUAUAACCGGCGAUGUCCGAAUGGGGAAACCCAGUGCAAUUCGUUGCACUAUCGUUAACUGAAUACAUAGGUUAACGAGGCGAACCGGGGGAACUGAAACAUCUAAGUACCCCGAGGAAAAGAAAUCAACCGAGAUUCCCCCAGUAGCGGCGAGCGAACGGGGAGCAGCCCAGAGUCUGAAUCAGCUUGUGUGUUAGUGGAACGGUCUGGAAAGUCCGACGGUACAGGGUGAUAGUCCCGUACACCAAAAUGCACAGGUUGUGAACUCGAAGAGUAGGGCGGGACACGUGGUAUCCUGUCUGAAUAUGGGGGGACCAUCCUCCAAGGCUAAAUACUCCUGACUGACCGAUAGUGAACCAGUACCGUGAGGGAAAGGCGAAAAGAACCCCGGCGAGGGGAGUGAAAAAGAACCUGAAACCGUGUACGUACAAGCAGUGGGAGCACCUUCGGGUGUGACUGCGUACCUUUUGUAUAAUGGGUCAGCGACUUAUAUUCUGUAGCAAGGUUAACCGUAUAGGGGAGCCGCAGGGAAACCGAGUCUUAACUGGGCGUUAAGUUGCAGGGUAUAGACCCGAAACCCGGUGAUCUAGCCAUGGGCAGGUUGAAGGUUGGGUAACACUAACUGGAGGACCGAACCGACUAAUGUUGAAAAAUUAGCGGAUGACUUGUGGCUGGGGGUGAAAGGCCAAUCAAACCGGGAGAUAGCUGGUUCUCCCCGAAAGCUAUUUAGGUAGCGCCUCGUGAACUCAUCUUCGGGGGUAGAGCACUGUUUCGGCUAGGGGGUCAUCCCGACUUACCAACCCGAUGCAAACUACGAAUACCGAAGAAUGUUAUCACGGGAGACACACGGCGGGUGCUAACGUCCGUCGUGAAGAGGGAAACAACCCAGACCGCCAGCUAAGGUCCCAAAGUCAUGGUUAAGUGGGAAACGAUGUGGGAAGGCACAGACAGCCAGGAUGUUGGCUUAGAAGCAGCCAUCAUUUAAAGAAAGCGUAAUAGCUCACUGGUCGAGUCGGCCUGCGCGGAAGAUGUAACGGGGCUAAACCAUGCACCGAAGCUGCGGCAGCGACACUAUGUGUUGUUGGGUAGGGGAGCGUUCUGUAAGCCUGCGAAGGUGUGCUGUGAGGCAUGCUGGAGGUAUCAGAAGUGCGAAUGCUGACAUAAGUAACGAUAAAGCGGGUGAAAAGCCCGCUCGCCGGAAGACCAAGGGUUCCUGUCCAACGUUAAUCGGGGCAGGGUGAGUCGACCCCUAAGGCGAGGCCGAAAGGCGUAGUCGAUGGGAAACAGGUUAAUAUUCCUGUACUUGGUGUUACUGCGAAGGGGGGACGGAGAAGGCUAUGUUAGCCGGGCGACGGUUGUCCCGGUUUAAGCAUGUAGGCUGAUUGUCCAGGCAAAUCCGGAUAAUCAAGGCUGAGGUGUGAUGACGAGGCACUACGGUGCUGAAGUAACAAAUGCCCUGCUUCCAGGAAAAGCCUCUAAGCAUCAGGUAACAUCAAAUCGUACCCCAAACCGACACAGGUGGUCAGGUAGAGAAUACCAAGGCGCUUGAGAGAACUCGGGUGAAGGAACUAGGCAAAAUGGUGCCGUAACUUCGGGAGAAGGCACGCUGGUGUGUAGGUGAAGUCCCUGCGGAUGGAGCUGAGACCAGUCGAAGAUACCAGCUGGCUGCAACUGUUUAUUAAAAACACAGCACUGUGCAAACACGAAAGUGGACGUAUACGGUGUGACGCCUGCCCGGUGCCGGAAGGUUAAUUGAUGGGGUUAUCCGUAAGGAGAAGCUCUUGAUCGAAGCCCCGGUAAACGGCGGCCGUAACUAUAACGGUCCUAAGGUAGCGAAAUUCCUUGUCGGGUAAGUUCCGACCUGCACGAAUGGCGUAAUGAUGGCCAGGCUGUCUCCACCCGAGACUCAGUGAAAUUGAACUCGCUGUGAAGAUGCAGUGUACCCGCGGCAAGACGGAAAGACCCCGUGAACCUUUACUAUAGCUUGACACUGAACAUUGAGCCUUGAUGUGUAGGAUAGGUGGGAGGCUUUGAAGCGUGGACGCCAGUCUGCGUGGAGCCAACCUUGAAAUACCACCCUUUAAUGUUUGAUGUUCUAACGUUGGCCCCUGACCGGGGUUGCGGACAGUGUCUGGUGGGUAGUUUGACUGGGGCGGUCUCCUCCCAAAGCGUAACGGAGGAGCACGAAGGUUAGCUAAUCCUGGUCGGACAUCAGGAGGUUAGUGCAAUGGCAUAAGCUAGCUUGACUGCGAGCGUGACGGCGCGAGCAGGUGCGAAAGCAGGUCAUAGUGAUCCGGUGGUUCUGAAUGGAAGGGCCAUCGCUCAACGGAUAAAAGGUACUCCGGGGAUAACAGGCUGAUACCGCCCAAGAGUUCAUAUCGACGGCGGUGUUUGGCACCUCGAUGUCGGCUCAUCACAUCCUGGGGCUGAAGUAGGUCCCAAGGGUAUGGCUGUUCGCCAUUUAAAGUGGUACGCGAGCUGGGUUUAGAACGUCGUGAGACAGUUCGGUCCCUAUCUGCCGUGGGCGCUGGAGAAUUGAGGGGGGCUGCUCCUAGUACGAGAGGACCGGAGUGGACGCAUCACUGGUGUUCGGGUUGUCAUGCCAAUGGCACUGCCCGGUAGCUAAAUGCGGAAGAGAUAAGUGCUGAAAGCAUCUAAGCACGAAACUUGCCCCGAGAUGAGUUCUCCCUGAGACUUUAAGUCUCCUGAAGGAACGUUAAAGACGAUGACGUUGAUAGGCCGGGUGUGUAAGCGCAGCGAUGCGUUGAGCUAACCGGUACUAAUGAACCGUGAGGCUUAACCUUACAACGCCGAAG
rnacentral:rRNA from 2 species